GCGCAUGGGCGCAGGCUACACAUGCAGUCGACGGUAACAGGAAGCAAGCUUGCUUCUUUGCUGACGAGUGGCGGACGGGUGAGUAAUGUCUGGGAAACUGCCUGAUGGAGGGGGAUAACUACUGGAAACGGUAGCUAAUACCGCAUAACGUCGCAAGACCAAAGAGGGGGACCUUCGGGCCUCUUGCCAUCGGAUGUGCCCAGAUGGGAUUAGCUAGUAGGUGGGGUAACGGCUCACCUAGGCGACGAUCCCUAGCUGGUCUGAGAGGAUGACCAGCCACACUGGAACUGAGACACGGUCCAGACUCCUACGGGAGGCAGCAGUGGGGAAUAUUGCACAAUGGGCGCAAGCCUGAUGCAGCCAUGCCGCGUGUAUGAAGAAGGCCUUCGGGUUGUAAAGUACUUUCAGCGGGGAGGAAGGGAGUAAAGUUAAUACCUUUGCUCAUUGACGUUACCCGCAAAAGAAGCACCGGCUAACUCCGUGCCAACAGCCGCGGUAAUACGGAGGGUGCAAGCGUUAAUCGGAAUCACUGGGUGUCAAGCGCACGGAGGCGGCUCGUUAAGUUACAUGUGAAAUCCCCGUUCUCAACCUGCUCACUGAGUCUGAUGCUGAAACAUGCAUGUGAUACCUGGCGAGCUUGAAGUCUGGUAGAGGGGAAGGGCUAGAGUUACCAGGUGUAAGCGGUGAAAUGCGUAUGGAGGUCUGGAGGGAUGCGGGUGGGGAAAGUCGGCUCCGUGGACGAAGACUGGCGCUCAGGUGCGAAAGCGUGGGGAGCAAACAGGAUUAGAUUCCCUGGUAGUCCACGCCGUAAACGAUGUCGACUUGGAGGUUGUGCCCUUGAGGCGUGGCUUCCGGAGGUAACGCGUUAAGUCGACCGCCUGGGGAGUACGGCCGCAAGGUUAAAACUCAAAUGAAUUGACGGGGGCCCGCACAAGCGGUGGAGCAUGUGGUUUAAUUCGAUGCAACGCGAAGAACCUUACCUGGUCUUGACAUCCACGGAAGUUUUCAGAGAUGAGAAUGUGCCUUCGGGAACCGUGAGACAGGUGCUGCAUGGCUGUCGUCAGCUCGUGUUGUGAAAUGUUGGGUUAAGUCCCGCAACGAGCGCAACCCUUAUCCUUUGUUGCCAGCGGUCCGGCCGGGAACUCAAAGGAGACUGCCAGUGAUAAACUGGAGGAAGGUGGGGAUGACGUCAAGUCAUCAUGGCCCUUACGACCAGGGCUACACACGUGCUACAAUGGCGCAUACAAAGAGAAGCGACCUCGCGAGAGCAAGCGGACCUCAUAAAGUGCGUCGUAGUCCGGAUUGGAGUCUGCAACUCGACUCCAUGAAGUCGGAAUCGCUAGUAAUCGUGGAUCAGAAUGCCACGGUGAAUACGUUCCCGGGCCUUGUACACACCGCCCGUCACACCAUGGGAGUGGGUUGCAAAAGAAGUAGGUAGCUUAACCUUCGGGAGGGCGCUUACCACUUGAUCAUUACGA
rnacentral:rRNA from 1 species